UACAGAGGUCUCGAGCGUUAGGCGGAAUCACUGGGCUUAAAGCGUGUGUAGGCGGAUUGGUAAGUACUUUGUGAAAUCCCUCGGCUUAACCGGGGAACUGCGUCUGAUACUGGAUGGCUUGAGUUUGGGAGAGGGAUGCGGAAUUCCAGGUGUAGCGGUGAAAUGCGUAGAUAUCUGGAGGAACACCGGUGGCGAAGGCGGCAUCCUGGACCAACACUGACGCUGAGGAGCGAAAGCCAGGGGAGCAAACGGG
rnacentral:rRNA from 1 species